rnacentral:piRNA from 1 species
UGGUUGCAGAAAGUGAAGGAUUGUCAGGGA